rnacentral:rRNA from 1 species
ACGCUCGACACCUACGGGGGCAGCAGUGGGGAAUAUUGGGCAAUGGGCGCAAGCCUGACCCAGCAACGCCGCGUGAAGGAAGAAGGCUUUCGGGUUGUAAACUUCUUUUGUCAGGGAACAGUAGAAGAGGGUACCUGACGAAUAAGCUCCGGCUAACUACGUGCCAACAGCCGCGGUAAUCUGAGCGGGCUGGCAAGGC